rnacentral:rRNA from 1 species
GGAUUGAAGGCUGAAAUUCGCCUUCAUGAAGCCGGAAUUGCUAGUAAUGGCAGGUCAGCAUACUGCCGUGAAUACGUUCCCGGGCCUUGUACACACCGCCCGUCACACCAUGAGAGUUGGGGAUACCCGAAGCCUGUGAGCUAACUUUUAGAGGCAGCAGUCGAAGGUAGAAUCAAUGAUUGGGGUGAAGUCGUAACAAGGUAAC